UUAUACCUAUUAAAAUUAAUCUUACUGAAAGCCUAGAUCCCUAACAUGCCUUAAUCCUUUGCACAUUUUUUACUACCAAAUGCAUAUUGCGCCUCAUAGAGCCUCAGGUAUAUGUCCUCAAUAUCCUGCUAAGUCAUGAGGAGUAGGAGAGAGGCUAUGAACACCUUGGAUCCCGUGUGCAGAUGCUCUUCUUCAGGAUCAUGGCAAUUAGCAGUUUCUUCUUUCCUUGCCUUUUUGGUGUAGUUUUUGUCGCUUGUUAGGUAUGUGAAUUUAGAGAAGAAUUUUACUGCUUGUAAUCUUCAAUAUGGGUAAAAAUGUAUUUGAUACAUGUUAAGGGUGGUAUUAAUAGUAACUGCUAAUAUUUAUAACUCAUACUCUAAUUUUCUAAUAGUUCUUGAACAUAACCCCCCCACACUUUGUUUGCUUUAUUCCCAUUGAUACUUGAAUAGAACUUUACAAUCAGUAAAAGUCACAGUGCACUCUCUAGGCAAUUUCUUUGAUCUCUCGAUGAAGGAAAUAAGAUUAAUUUUACAAGAUGUAGUCAUUAGAAUGCUUAUGAAUCCUUAUAAACAUUCGUCUCUGGUUUUCUAUUUAAUUUUUUUCAAACUAUCUUUUAGGUGAUCUACACCUAAGAUUGAAGACUCACCAGUCUAAUGAGUUCAAUAUAUCCUUUUACAAGAGGACGUUUUGUAUGUCCAUGUCUUUUAAGUAUUUCAACAUGGGCUACUAACAUUUUGAUGAAUCUGCUAUAUUGAAUUAAGAAGAGAACUCUGUAAAGAGGUUUUGGUUAUUAAUGGCAUAUGAAGUAUGUGAGAGGGGCCACUCAGAUUAGUAGAACAUUUUCUCUUUUGAGUGUUUCAAUUAUUCUUGCAGAAGGAUCGUUGUUAUUACCACUCACAUAAUGUCCAAGGGCUGACUAAAAUCACUGGAUGGGGUGAUGUCCACAUUUAACCUUUGUUAACCUUUCGUCUUCUCUGUCCCCUGAGAAGUCUUAUUUUAUAGUUUAGGGAGUGCUUUUUUACUAAUGAUUAUUAUCAUUGUAAUAAACUUGUCUUUUAUUUCAGAUCCAUGCUCAAAAAAUUAGCUAGAUUUUUCUUUUCUUACUCUGUAUUUUCAAGUCUCCUAGGAGAUCCUUUGUCUUUUGACUGUCACUCCACUAGUGGUCAGCCAGUGGCCCUGGCCAGAUCUUAAUCACUAUCUUCUGCUUCAGAUUGCAUUAAGGACAAUACAAAAUACUUUGAUUUUUCAAUCCAACUUUUUCAUAUUUGUAAUAUGGCACUGCUUUGCUAACUAAGAAAUUAUUCUGCAUCUCAAACCAGGUUGUCUGGAAGACCGGAAAUGUCUAAGAGCAAUGAGUAGAAAGUGGUGCAUACUCGCAGCAGCAAGAUUUGCAUGUAACUCUGCUUGUAAGGAUUCCAAUGUGUAGUAUUUUCUAUUUAACUGUGUAUUUAAAAAAUAAAUAAAAUCAAGAAA
rnacentral:lncRNA from 1 species